rnacentral:misc_RNA from 1 species
AACGCAUCUUGCGCUCCUUGGUAUUCCGAGGAGCAUGCCUGUUUGAGUGUCAUUUAACUUCUCAACCACUUGAUUUUUUUUGGGUGGCUUGGAUGUGGGGGUUGUUUGCAGGCUUUUCUCGAGGUCAGCUCCCCUGAAAUGUAUUAGUAGUAUCUGAGGCUAUUACUAUAGGUGUGAUAAAUUAUCUAUGCCUUUGGUAUGCUGCAUGAACUGCUUCCAACAAAGAUAAAACCUUUUGAUGAAUUUGACCUCAAAUCAGGUAGGACUACCCGCUGAACUUAA